GCAGUCGAGGGGUAACUAGAGUGAUAGCAAUAUUACUUUGGCUAGACCGGCGCACGGGUGCGUAACACGUAUGCAACCUACCUUAUACUGGGGAAUAACUUCGAGAAAUCGGCGCUAAUACCCCAUAACACUGCGAAGAGGCAUCUCUUUGCAUUUAAAGCUCCGGCGGUAUAAGAUGGGCAUGCGUCCAAUUAGCUAGUUGGUGAGGUAACGGCUCACCAAGGCUACGAUUGGUAGGGGUUCUGAGAGGAUGAUCCCCCACACUGGUACUGAGACACGGACCAGACUCCUACGGGAGGCAGCAGUGAGGAGUAUUGCGCAAUGGACGAAAGUCUGACGCAGCCAUGCCGCGUGCAGGAUGACGGCCCUAUGGGUUGUAAACUGCUUUUGUAUGGGAAUAAACCCUUCUACGUGUAGAAGGCUGAAGGUACCAUAAGAAUAAGCACCGGCUAACUCCGUGCCAGCAGCCGCGGUAAUACGGAGGGUGCAAGCGUUAUCCGGAUUUAUUGGGUUUAAAGGGUCCGUAGGCGGGCCGAUAAGUCAGUGGUGAAAGCCCAUAGCUCAACUAUGGAACUGCCAUUGAUACUGUCGGUCUUGAGUAUAUGUGAUGUUGGCGGAAUGUGUAGUGUAGCGGUGAAAUGCUUAGAUAUUACACAGAACACCGAUUGCGAAGGCAGCUGACAAAUAUAUAACUGACGCUGAGGGACGAAAGUGUGGGGAUCAAACAGGAUUAGAUACCCUGGUAGUCCACACCGUAAACGAUGAUUACUAGAUUUUGGCCUUAUGGUCAGAGUCCAAGCGAAAGUGUUAAGUAAUCCACCUGGGGAGUACGUCCGCAAGGAUGAAACUCAAAGGAAUUGACGGGGGCCCGCACAA
rnacentral:rRNA from 1 species